rnacentral:misc_RNA from 1 species
GAUGAAGAACGCAGCGAAAUGCGAUAAGUAAUGUGAAUUGCAGAAUUCAGUGAAUCAUCGAAUCUUUGAACGCACAUUGCGCCCGCCAGUAUUCUGGCGGGCAUGCCUGUUCGAGCGUCAUUACAACCCUCAGGCCCCCGGGCCUGGCGUUGGGGAUCGGCGGAAGCCCCCUGUGGGCACACGCCGUCCCUCAAAUACAGUGGCGGUCCCGCCGCAGCUUCCAUUGCGUAGUAGCUAACACCUCGCAACUGGAGAGCGGCGCGGCCAUGCCGUAAAACACCCAACUUCUGAAUGUUGACCUCGAAUCAGGUAGGAAUACCCGCUGAACUUAAGCAUAUCAAUAAGCGGAGGC